UCUCCGUUGGUGAACCAGCGGAGGGAUCAUUAAAGAGUAGUUUUUACAACAACUCCAAACCCAUGUGAACUUACCUAUGUUGCCUCGGCGGGGAGACCUACCCUGUAGUUACCCUGUAGCUACCCUGUAGAGCUACCCGUCGGCGGACCAUCAAACUCUGUUUUUCUAUGAAACUUCUGAGUGUUUUAACUUAAUAAAUUAAAACUUUCAACAACGGAUCUCUUGGUUCUG
rnacentral:misc_RNA from 1 species